GUGCUUCCGCAUCGUGUGGGCGCAAGAGGAGCACCAGUUCGCCGGAGUUUCGCCUUUCUCCGGCCGUCGAUUUCCGCUGCAUUUUUCCGCCAGAUUGAGGAAGCCUUUUUCGCGAGGAAGACUGGGGUCGUGCUCAUGUAGAUUGAGGAUUUUUUGCACUUUUGCUUUCGUUUUACUGUGGCCUCCUCAAUCGACAUGAGCACUUUUGGGAGAUGCAACUGUAUUCAGUUUGCCACAUCGUCAGACCGCUGAUCUACCUAGUACAUACGAGUUUUUCUAGCCAUUUUUGCAUCUGUAUAUGCAAUGUAUGUUCAUGUGUUUUCGGUGUAUAUACUCUGUAAAUGCAAUGUAUGUUCAGGUGUUUUCGCUGUAUAUACUCUGUACAUGCAAUGUAAGUUCAGGUGUUUUCAGUGUAUAUACUCUGUACAUGCAAUGUAUGUUCA